rnacentral:lncRNA from 1 species
GGAGGCAGGACAGCCCCCAGCUGAGUCCUCAGACGGAGGUGAGAGAGUCAGGGAAAAGGAGCGGGGGUAGGAACAGGGUUGGAGUAGGUGACUCACUCGUGUUGUCAGCAGCAGCGACCCGAUCUCUGUGGGUAAAGGCACGGGGGAGGAAGUGCUGAGACGCUGGAGCUUGUUGUUUCCACAGCAAGUGAAAAGUCAUGAACAAAGGUUAUUGAAAAGAUCACUGAAAAGAAGAAUUUUGAUCCCUAAGGAAAGACUUGUGAGUAAAUAUGUCUUUAUGUUUCUCCAGCUGUUGAGAUUUACUUUUCAUAUCCUUCCCCAUUUUUCAGCAAUUUCACAUUCCCUCAAUCCUCAAUCAUCAAAAUGUCCUGUGUUUUUGUAAGAGAGACAGCCCUUGCUCUGCAUAUGUCAUAUGAUGGGAAAAAAAAAAAAAAAAAAAAAAAAAAAAAGAAUAAAAAAAAAAAGGUACAGUUUGCUUUUUGCUGA